AUUGAACGCUGGCGGCAUGCUUUACACAUGCAAGUCGAACGGCAGCGCGGGCUCCGGUCUGGCGGCGAGUGGCGCACGGGUGAGUAAUACAUCGAAACGCGCCCAGUAGUGGGGGAACGCCCGGCGAAAGCCGGAUUAAUACCGCACACGACCCGGGGGUGAAAGCGGGGGACCGAAAGGCCUCGCGCUCUUGGAGGGGGCGAUGUCGGAUUAGCUAGUUGGUGGGGUAAAGGCUCACCAAGGCGACGAUCCGUAGCUGGUCUGAGAGGAAGACCAGCCACACUGGGACUGAGACACGGCCCAGACUCCUACGGGAGGCAGCAGUGGGGAAUUUUGGACAAUGGGGGCAACCCUGAUCCAGCCAUGCCGCGUGCGGGAAGAAGGCCUUCGGGUUGUAAACCGCUUUUGUUCGGGAAGAAAUCCUCUGGGCUAAUACCCCGGGGGGAUGACGGUACCGGAAGAAUAAGCACCGGCUAACUACGUG
rnacentral:rRNA from 1 species